rnacentral:rRNA from 1 species
CCAGAGAACUUAGCAGAGAUGCUUUGGUGCCUUCGGGAACUCUGAGACAGGUGCUGCAUGGCUGUCGUCAGCUCGUGUUAUGAAAUGUUGGGUUAAGUCCCGCAACGAGCGCAACCCUUAUCCUUUGUUGCCAGCGGCUCGGCCGGGAACUCAAAGGAGACUGCCGGUGAUAAACCGGAGGAAGGUGGGGAUGACGUCAAGUCAUCAUGGCCCUUACGGCCAGGGCUACACACGUGCUACAAUGGCGCAUACAAAGAGAAGCGACCUCGCGAGAGCAAGCGGACCUCAUAAAGUGCGUCGUAGUCCGGAUUGGAGUCUGCAACUCGACUCCAUGAAGUCGGAAUCGCUAGUAAUCGUAGAUCAGAAUGCUACGGUGAAUACGUUCCCGGGCCUUGUACACACCGCCCGUCACACCAUGGGAGUGGGUUGCAAAAGAAGUAGGUAGCUUAACCUUCGGGAGGGCGCUUACCACUUUGUGAUUCAUGACUGGGGUGAAGUCGUAACAAGGUAAGCGUAGCGAG